rnacentral:rRNA from 1 species
UCGGGAAUUUUGGGCAAUGGGCGAAAGCCUGACCCAGCAACGCCGCGUGAGGGAUGAAGUAUUUCGGUAUGUAAACCUCGAAAGAAUGGGAAGAAUAAAUGACGGUACCAUUUAUAAGCUCCGGCUAACUACGUGCCAGCAGCCGCGGUGAUACGUAGGGAUCAAGCUUUUUUCGUAUUUACUGGGCUUAAAGGGCGCGUAGGCGGCGCGGUAA